CUCACAACCACUUCAUACUGCUAGGCUGGCAUUUUGAACAGGAUAAGUGAAACAGCAACUGUCGCUGGAAAUGGAUGGAACGUCACGUUUCCAGGUGCCUGGUGUGUCCUGGAUAAGAGGAGAGGGACAGCAACUGGUGUGAAUGAUGAUAUCUUAGCGGAUGUCAUGGACAUGGCGUCCAUCAGCACCACAGACGAAACUUGCUGUCACAUUCCCUCAGUCCAGUGAGACCUGCAC
rnacentral:lncRNA from 1 species